rnacentral:rRNA from 1 species
UAAAGGGUCCGUAGGCGGUUUAGUAAGUCAGUGGUGAAAGCCCAUCGCUCAACGGUGGAACGGCCAUUGAUACUGCUGAACUUGAAUUAUUAGGAAGUAACUAGAAUAUGUAGUGUAGCGGUGAAAUGCUUAGAGAUUACAUGGAAUACCAAUUGCGAAGGCAGGUUACUACUAAUGGAUUGACGCUGAUGGACGAAAGCGUGGGUAGCGAACAGGAUUAGAUACCCGGU